rnacentral:rRNA from 1 species
CGAGCGCGUAGCAAUACGAGCGGCAGACGGGUGAGUAACGCGUGGGAAUCUACCCUAUACUACGGAAUAACGCAUGGAAACGUGUGCUAAUACCGUAUGUGUCCUGAUGGAGAAAGAUUUUAUCGGUAUAGGAUGAGCCCGCGUUGGAUUAGCUAGUUGGUGGGGUAAAGGCCUACCAAGGCGACGAUCCAUAGCUGGUCUGAGAGGAUGAUCAGCCACAUUGGGACUGAGACACGGCCCAA